ACAGGCUCAGUCCUGCUUGAAAAAACAUGUCCAGAAAGUAGAAUGUAUGAAAUGGCUAGAUUCAGGCUCUUUUUGUUGGCGUAGCACCAUUGCAGGAGGAUUGGCUUCGUGGCUUCGUGUGCGAGAAGGACGCCAUCGCGGGUAGGAGAACGUCGGCGUGCCGGAGAAGCCGCUGGCCUCUGCGAGAAGCACGCUGCCGCGGGGAGGAGAACACCGGCGUCGCGUGCCGGAGAAGCCGCUGGCCUCUGCGAGAAGCACGUUGCCGCGGGGAGGAGAACGCCGGCGUCGCGUGCCGGAGAAGCCGCUGUAUUGUGCGAGAAGGAUGUCGUGUUGGGAGCCGCAACCUUGUACUGAGGCGGUGUCGGAGGCGACCUGGGCCGCGAUGGCCAGCAUGCUCACCGGCUGGCAAAAUCGCCUCCUCCACGAGAUUCGUUUGGGGAAGAAACAGAGAUUAGAGUGUUUUUAUAAUAUGUAACAGAGAAAGAUGUGUUUAUGGAAAAUGAACAAAAGAAGGCGCGGGAGGGCUUCUUUGCAAAAUAGCUGUAGCACCGUUGGAUGUGGUGGUGUGGUCUGGAUUGAUUUUGCUAUGGGAGCAGCAGCGCUCCUUGCGCACAAGAUACGGUGCCUUUACACAUAUCACCGAUGCUUUGAUGAUGACAGACAAUUCAUUCUCUAUUCUUAAGCAAUCAUCGUGGCUAAACGCCUCGCGUUGUCCGUGCCCCCAUUCGAGGCGAGAGAAUUCUGGGUCCGCGAAUUUGGAAAAUCAUAGGCUGACUGUCUGUUCCUCCUAUCCGUUUCUCGAGAGAUGGAUUCAUCCUUUCCUUGGGUCCAUCAAGCAAAAAAAAAAAAAAAAAAAAAAACGGAGAAAGCCUAGGAUCAGUGAGUACUUCUUCAGUUCCCCUCCAUGUCUCAGUACUUCUUCAGUCAGAUCUCCCCCUUGUGACCUCCCCAUACCUCUUCUUCUCUUCUGGCAACUCGCAGCGGCCGAGUUCUACCGUCGCCAUGGACGAAAUCCAUCUGGGUUGCAGACCUAGUGCCGAGCAAUCAUCUCCUCGUACGCUGACCAAUCUCCAGCUCGAUUUAGUGGAAGGAGGGCCACCCAGUUCGCGGAGCUUCAACAAGGAGUCCUUGUUGGCUCUUAUCCCCUUCGAUUGCAGUGAGGAUAGUCAGUUGGUAGAUGCAACAAAUCAAGUCGAUUGGGACGCUAUGAUAUUGUCGGAUGCAUGGGACGACGAAAGAAGACAUGACAUGCCACGUGAAAGUGAGAUAUAUUGUGAACUUGGAUUAAUGCAAGAGGACGAGGCCGAGCAAAGAAGAAGGGAGGAAGCAUUUGCAGGUGGAUGUAGCAGCGUGGAAGAUAGUGUUAAAAAAUGUGCUAGGUGACCGGUGGCGGAGGACGCCAGAAAAUUUAGGUGUUGCUAACGCAACGAAGAAUAAAAAUUUAUGACAUAUUUUAAAAUAA